rnacentral:misc_RNA from 1 species
UCCGAGUUGACCCCGGCAGUCUCCUAUGAGUCCCCGACAUUACUCGCUGGCAACAUAGGACGAGGGUUGCGCUCGUUGCGGGACUUAACCCAACAUCUCACGACACGAGCUGACGACAACCAUGCACCACCUGUGCAGGGCCCUUGCGGACCCCGUAUCUCUACGAGAUUUCCCUGCAUGUCAAGCCUUGGUAAGGUUCUUCGCGUUGCGUCGAAUUAAGCCACAUGCUCCGCCGCUUGUGCGGGCCCCCGUCAAUUCCUUUGAGUUUUAGCCUUGCGGCCGUACUCCCCAGGCGGGGCGCUUAAUGCGUUAGCUGCGGCACGGAGGGAGUGGAUAACCCCCCACACCUAGCGCCCAACGUUUACGGCGUGGACUAC